rnacentral:rRNA from 1 species
UACGUAGGGUGCGAGCGUUAAUCGGAAUUACUGGGCGUAAAGCGUGCGCAGGCGGUUCGUUGUGUCUGAUGUGAAAGCCCCGGGCUUAACCUGGGAAUGGCAUUGGAAACUGGCGAGCUGGAGUGUGGCAGAGGGGGGUGGAGUUCCGCGUGUAGCAGUGAAAUGCGUAGAGAUGCGGAGGAACACCGAUGGCGAAGGCAGCCCCCUGGGCCAACACUGACGCUCAGGCACGAAAGCGUGGGGAGCAAACGGG